CCUACGGGAGGCAGCAGUGGGGAAUAUUGGACAAUGGGGGCAACCCUGAUCCAGCCAUGCCGCGUGUGUGAAGAAGGCCCUCGGGUUGUAAAGCACUUUCAGUGAGGAAGAACGCCUGGUGGUUAAUACCCAGCAGGAAAGACAUCACUCACAGAAGAAGCACCGGCUAACUCCGUGCCAGCAGCCGCGGUAAUACGGAGGGUGCGAGCGUUAAUCGGAAUUACUGGGCGUAAAGCGCGCGUAGGUGGCUUGAUAAGCCGGUUGUGAAAGCCCCGGGCUCAACCUGGGAACGGCAUCCGGAACUGUCAAGCUAGAGUGCAGGAGAGGAAGGUAGAAUUCCCGGUGUAGCGGUGAAAUGCGUAGAGAUCGGGAGGAAUACCAGUGGCGAAGGCGGCCUUCUGGACUGACACUGACACUGAGGUGCGAAAGCGUGGGUAGCAAACAGGAUUAGAUACCCUAGUAGUC
rnacentral:rRNA from 1 species